rnacentral:rRNA from 1 species
AGAUAGCUCAGUAACACGUGGCCAAACUACCCUGUCGAUCGGGACACCCUCGGGAAACUGAGGCUAAUCCCGGAUACGGCUCGCUGCCUGGAGUUGGCGCGAGCCCGAAACGUUCAGGCGCGACAGGAUGUGGCUGCGGCCGAUUAGGUAGACGGUGGGGUAACGGCCCACCGUGCCGAUAAUCGGUACGGGUUGUGAAAGCAAGAGCCCGGAGACGGAAUCUGAGACAAGAUUCCGGGCCCUACGGGGCGCAGCAGGCGCGAAACCUUUACACUGCACGCGAGUGCGAUAGGGGGACUCCAAGUGCGAGGGCAUACAGUCCUCGCUUUUCACCACCGUAAGGAGGUGGUAGAAUAAGUGCUGGGCAAGACCGGUGCCAGCCGCCGCGGUAAUACCGGCAGCACGAGUGAUGACCGCUAUUAUUGGGCCUAAAGCGUCCGUAGCCGGCCGGGCAAGUCCAUCGGGAAAUCCGCACGCCUAACGUGCGGGCGUCCGGUGGAAACUGUUCGGCUUGGGACCGGAAGAUCCAGAGGGUACGUCUGGGGUAGGAGUGAAAUCCUGUAAUCCUGGACGGACCACCGGUGGCGAAAGCGCUCUGGAAAGACGGAUCCGACGGUGAGGGACGAAAGCUUGGGUCACGAACCGGAUUAGAUACCCGGGUAGUCCAAGCUGUAAACGAUGUCUGCUAGGUGUGGCACAGG